GUUAUUUUGGCAGACUAGUGCAAUAGACUUAGGAUCUUUAUAUGUAACUAAAAUUACAUUUAACA
rnacentral:tRNA from 1 species